GACGAACGCUGGCGGCGUGCUUAACACAUGCAAGUCGAACGGAAAGGCCCUGCUUUUGUGGGGUGCUCGAGUGGCGAACGGGUGAGUAACACGUGAGUAACCUGCCCUUGACUUUGGGAUAACUUCAGGAAACUGGGGCUAAUACCGGAUAGGAGCUCCUGCUGCAUGGUGGGGGUUGGAAAGUUUCGGCGGUUGGGGAUGGACUCGCGGCUUAUCAGCUUGUUGGUGGGGUAGUGGCUUACCAAGGCUUUGACGGGUAGCCGGCCUGAGAGGGUGACCGGCCACAUUGGGACUGAGAUACGGCCCAGACUCCUACGUGAGGCAGCAGUGGGGAAUAUGGCACAAUGGGCGGAAGCCUGAUGCAGCAACGCCGCGUGCGGGAUGAUGGCCUUCGGGUUGUAAACCGCUUUCGCCUGUGACGAAGCGUGAGUGACGGUAAUGGGUAAAGAAGCACCGGCUAACUACGUG
rnacentral:rRNA from 1 species